CCUUUUGUAUAAUGGGUCAGCGACUUAUAUUCUGUAGCAAGGUUAACCGAAUAGGGGAGCCGAAGGGAAACCGAGUCUUAACUGGGCGUUAAGUUGCAGGGUAUAGACCCGAAACCCGGUGAUCUAGCCAUGGGCAGGUUGAAGGUUGGGUAACACUAACUGGAGGACCGAACCGACUAAUGUUGAAAAAUUAGCGGAUGACUUGUGGCUGGGGGUGAAAGGCCAAUCAAACCGGGAGAUAGCUGGUUCUCCCCGAAAGCUAUUUAGGUAGCGCCUCGUGAAUUCAUCUCCGGGGGUAGAGCACUGUUUCGGCAAGGGGGUCAUCCCGACUUACCAACCCGAUGCAAACUGCGAAUACCGGAGAAUGUUAUCACGGGAGACACACGGCGGGUGCUAACGUCCGUCGUGAAGAGGGAAACAACCCAGACCGCCAGCUAAGGUCCCAAAGUCAUGGUUAAGUGGGAAACGAUGUGGGAAGGCCCAGACAGCCAGGAUGUUGGCUUAGAAGCAGCCAUCAUUUAAAGAAAGCGUAAUAGCUCACUGGUCGAGUCGGCCUGCGCGGAAGAUGUAACGGGGCUAAACCAUGCACCGAAGCUGCGGCAGCGACGCUGAUGCGUUGUUGGGUA
rnacentral:rRNA from 1 species